UCACACAGUAUAGAAACCCGGAAGUGCAGAAAUGUUCAGUAGGACGUCAGUUGUACAGUCAGUCAGUCAGUCACGUGUGGGAAUAGUUUUAUUACAGAUAAACAAAUACAUAGCUUUAUCAGCGUGAGACAUGACAAUAAAACUACAGUGAGUUUGUAUCCGACUUAAAGCUAAUGUAUCGCGGGGAGACUGCAGCUGGACAACAAACACACCUCUUUUCGGGCAAAGUUCACACGUGUUUUCGGGGUCGUGUGUGAUUUCACGGUUAUGGAGGCGUUGAUUAGGGCGUGUUUGUGUUGUAAUGCCACGUCGACUGCUGUGGGACAAUAAUAACAACACGCAUCCUGAGUCCGUUUAGUCACGAAGGCGACGGAAACAAUGGCAAAGAGUGGCCGGAGGCUCCGAUCUGCUCAGGUGAACGGAGGUGCUGGUGGUGUCUCAGUGUCCGGGUGUCCGCCGACCGGAGCGUGUCGCGCUCGUGCCUUCCGCCUGUGUCUGUGGCGCGCGCUGCCGGUGAUCCUGAUCCUCCUGAUGCUCAUGUUUGUCAUUGGCUCUUACCUGUGCAGCUACCCCAGCAUCACUGACAGCCCAAAGUACAGCGCCGAUCUGUUUAAGGACAAGCUCUCCCACAAGCCCAGGAAGUUACCUCUGGCUCAGGUGCGUAAUCUUGCUGCUCAGGUCGAUAUCACUCGGCUUUGGGAGACCCAUCUGCGGCCCAUACUGAUCGAGAGGGUUCCAGGUACAGCAGGGAGCAAAGCUGUACUCCAGCACAUCGUCUCCCAGCUGCGUUCCCUCUCCGCAGGCUGGACUGUAGAGGAGGACUCGUUCCAGUCAUCUACUCCGAAAGGACCCGUGACCUUCAGUAAUGUCCUGGCUGUUCUUGACCCCUCUGCCCCCCGCAGGCUCCUCUUUGCCUGCCACCAUGAUUCCAAAAUCUUACCCCGAGACCCCAAAGACCCACAGCGAGUGUUUAUUGGAGCUAGUGAUUCAGCCGUACCCUGUGCCAUGCUGCUAGAGCUUGCAUCAGCACUGGACACAGAGCUUAAAUCCCUGAAACAGCAGAGGUCUGCGUUGACGCUGCAGCUUGUCUUUUUUGACGGAGAGGAGGCGUUUGAGGAAUGGACAGAUACAGACUCUCUGUACGGCUCACGUCAUCUGGCUGAGCUCAUGGCUCACAAGCCUCAUCCUCCAGGCUCCACACACACCACACAGCUGCAGGCAGUGGAUCUGUUUGUGCUGCUGGACUUACUCGGAGCUGCAGAGCCUCUGAUUGUCAAUCAUUUUGAUAACACAGCUCACUGGUUUGAUCGUCUUAUUGCUGCAGAGAGGAGGCUGCAACGCCAGGGCUUACUGUCAUCACAAGGUUCAGAAAAAAACUACUUCAGGAAAGACGUUUAUCUGGGACCAGUGCAGGAUGACCAUGUUCCAUUCUUGCUUCGAGGUGUACCGGUGCUGCACUUGAUCUCAACACCAUUCCCUCCAUUCUGGCACACGCUCGAGGACACAGAGGAGAACAUGCACCGGCCCACAGUCGAGAACCUCACCAAGAUUCUAGCCAUCUUCCUGGCUGAAUACCUGCACCUCUGAGCCAACUUAGACUCUCCUUCUAAACACACGUGUAUGAAGUGACGCACUGUAUGUUGCAUACUGGACAAUAGCGAUGAUGUAAUACAUCUAGGUCACAUACAGGCACAGCAUCUGCUGUGGAAAUGUGGUAUGAUUAAUUUUUAUUAUUCUAUCUGCUGAAACAAGAGCCAUAAACACACACGCUUUGGCAGCUGAUCGGGUCAAUAUCCACGCUAAAAAAAUGGACAUGCAGACCGUGGUGAGCCUGUUGAUAUGACUUACUGCAAAAGUUUGAGCCAUUAAUUGCUAACCUGUUGCUUGGACAGUGCUGGUUAGAUUUGAAUGUAUCUUAAUAAUAAGUGUUGUUAUUAAGAUAUCAGCAGGACCUAUGAGAUUGACAGCGACCUCGUAUUCCAGUUUCAGUGAAAUAGGAAUAUCUUAAGCUGGUUUUAAACCCGUUCUCAGUACCUAAUCAUCAUGUACUUACUGAUAGACCAUGUGCUGUUGUCUAAUCUGGAACUGUUAUGCAUGAAUUUAAUAGGAACUGAGGAAAAGAAACCUGCAAAUAAGUAAACUGAAUGCCAUAACCAAGCUUUAAAUGGUCAAAUACCUCAAACAUCACCAACUUCUGGGUCCAUGCUUCGAAGUUCUCUGUGGAGUUUCACUUGUUCUCACAGUUGCCGUGUAGGAUUCUUCUGGAUUUUCUGGUUCCUCCCAAAAACAUGCAGCCAGAAGAAGAUGAUGUAGGUUCCCUCACCCUUUGCGGCCUUGAGCAGCUCUGUCCCGCUGACGGCGGUUCUUGAACCAGUUGCUGACCUGAAUGGCUGUAAGACCAGUCGCUGUGGCUAACUCCCGCUUUUCUCUGGGUGAGGGGUAGGGCUUCCUGCAGUACCACUCCCUCAGCACACACCGUGACUUCUCCU